AACGAACGCUGGCGGCAGGCCUAACACAUGCAAGUCGAGCGAAGCCUUCGGGCUUAGCGGCGGACGGGUGAGUAACGCGUGGGAACGUGCCCUUUGGUACGGAAUAGCCCCGGGAAACUGGGAGUAAUACCGUAUGUGGUCGAGAGACGAAAGAUUUAUCGCCAAAGGAUCGGCCCGCGUUGGAUUAGGUAGUUGGUGGGGUAAUGGCCUACCAAGCCGACGAUCCAUAGCUGGUUUGAGAGGAUGAUCAGCCACACUGGGACUGGGACACGGGCCAGACUCCCACGGGAGGCAGGAGUGGGGAAUCUUAGAAAAUGGGGGAAACCCUGAUCUAGCCAUGCCGCGUGAUCGAUGAAGGCCUUAGGGUUGUAAAGAUCUUUCAGUGGGGAAGAUAAUGACUGUACCCACAGAAGAAGCCCCGGCUAACUCCGUGCCAGCAGCCGCCGUAACAC
rnacentral:rRNA from 1 species